GAUCCUGGCUCAGGACGAACGCUGGCGGCGCGCCUAACACAUGCAAGUCGAACGGAGCUUAGAGAGCUUGCUUUUUAAGCUUAGUGGCGAACGGGUGAGUAACGCGUGAGUAACCUGCCCUAGAGUGGGGGGACAACAGUUGGAAACGACUGCUAAUACCGCAUAAGCCCACAGGUCGGCAUCGACCAGAGGGAAAAGGAGCAAUCCGCUUUGAGAUGGCCUCGCGUCCGAUUAGCUAGUUGGUG
rnacentral:rRNA from 1 species